GUGUCAGCAGCCGCGGUAAUACGGAGGAUCCGAGCGUUAUCCGGAUUUAUUGGGUUUAAAGGGUGCGCAGGCGGAAUAUUAAGUCGGCGGUGAAAGUUUGCAGCUUAACUGUAAAAUUGCCGUUGAUACUGGUAUUCUUGAGUGUAUAUGAAGUAGGCGGAAUUUGUAGUGUAGCGGUGAAAUGCAUAGAUAUUACAAGGAACUCCGAUUGCGAAGGCAGCUUACUAAAUUACAACUGACGCUUAGGCACGAAGGCGUGGGUAUCAAACAGGAUUAGAUACCCUGGUAGUCCACGCAGUAAACGAUGAUUACUCGCUGUUUGCGAUACACAGUAAGCGGCUUAGCGAAAGCGUCAAGUAAUCCACCUGGGGAGUACGUUCGCAAGAAUGAA
rnacentral:rRNA from 1 species